rnacentral:lncRNA from 1 species
AGCAACGCCCAAAACCUCAUUGCAGCACAACAAUGGGGAGUAAGAAAAGCCCCAGGUCUCUCAAAAUGCCCACAAGGCUUUGUCAGAAAUUGCGCUGGAAGUCUAGUGGGAAAUGCCCUUGUAUCUGUGUUUGUGUGCAGAAGAUGGCCCUUAUUCUUUAGCUAAUGAUCAGAAAUUUUUUUACUAGACCUACAUUAUGUCAAAAGGUUCUAACUCUUCUGUGCAGGGGAUAUCAUAAAGGACAGAAUCAAUCAUUGCUACAAAAGCAGACAAACCAAACAUAUGCAUGGCACAUUCUUGCAAACCAGGCGCCGGGAACCUGCAACCCUUGGGGUUUGUGUGUAGGUGACAGAGCACUGGCUUUUCUGUGGACUCCUCAUUUCCCUUCCUGGGACUCAACUCUGUAGUUUUUCCCCAGAGGGAAUUGGAUCCACCCAAAAGACCUGGAAAGAGAAGGAGAGACAGAAAAAGAGAAAAAGGAAGGAGGGAAGAAAAAGAGUUUUC